GAACUGAUGCAGAACAUCCCAACUUAACCACCGAGCCCUUUAUGUAUGUGUCCUACUGCUAAUGAAACCAAUGUGUUAUCGGAACCCUGUAGGUAUCUAUGUACUCUAAUCCCCUCAACCCCAACCCACCCCAGUCCAUCCAAAAUAAAGGGGAAAAGGAUCCUCUGUUUUAAGUUGUAAGAGUAAAAAGACAUUAUUCUUGUCUAGACAAACAUGCAAGUGAUGCUCAAGCAAACUGCAUACCCUUUUUAGAUUGCAUAUAUGGGGCACAAUGUGAUUUUCCAUUGAAAGAAUUUUACUUUUUGAGCAUUUUUUUUUUUUAAUUUUGGAAAUAGAAUAGGAUUAAUGGUUAUGCUUAGUGGUUCCACUAAAUGUUGUGUCACUUGUGCUGUG
rnacentral:misc_RNA from 1 species